CCCUGCAUGUGAAAGUGAUCAGGGGCUACCUGUGCCCCAGUCUUUGAGAGUGUAGGGAGAGGAAUUGCUGAAAGCAUUUCUUUGGGUCCCUUCCAAAUCCUGGAGCUUUCCCACA